rnacentral:rRNA from 1 species
UACGUAGGGUGCGAGCGUUGUCCGGAAUUAUUGGGCGUAAAGAGCUCGUAGGCGGUUUGUCGCGUCGGCCGUGAAAACCUGGGGCUUAACUCUGGGCUUGCGGUCGAUACGGGCAGACUUGAGUUCGGUAGGGGAGACUGGAAUUCCUGGUGUAGCGGUGAAAUGCGCAGAUAUCGGAAGGAACACCAGUGGCGAAAGCGGCUUCCUGGUCCAGCACCGACGUUCAGGCACGAAAGCGUGGGGAGCAAACAGG